AACGCACAUUGCGCCCGCCAGUACUCUGGCGGGCAUGCCUGUCCGAGCGUCAUUUCAACCCUCGGGCCCCCGUUUCGGCGGCGGGCCCGGCGUUGGGGAUCAGGGGCCGCCCGGCGGACCCUGCCCCCUAAAUACAGUGGCGGUCGCGCCGCAGCCUCCCCUGCGUAGUAGCACACCUCGCACCGGAGAGCGGCUCGGCCACGCCGUGAAACCCCCCAAUUUUUCAAGGUUGACCUCGGAUCAGGUAGGAAUACCCGCUGAACUUAA
rnacentral:misc_RNA from 1 species